CCUACGGGCGGCAGCAGUGGGGAAUAUUGGACAAUGGGGGCAACCCUGAUCCAGCCAUGCCGCGUGUGUGAAGAAGGCCCUCGGGUUGUAAAGCACUUUCAGUGAGGAAGAACGCCUGGUGGUUAAUACCCAUCAGGAAAGACAUCACUCACAGAAGAAGCACCGGCUAACUCCGUGCCAGCAGCCGCGGUAAUACGGAGGGUGCGAGCGUUAAUCGGAAUUACUGGGCGUAAAGCGCGCGUAGGUGGCUUGAUAAGCCGGUUGUGAAAGCCCCGGGCUCAACCUGGGAACGGCAUCCGGAACUGUCAAGCUAGAGUGCAGGAGAGGAAGGUAGAAUUCCCGGUGUAGCGGUGAAAUGCGUAGAGAUCGGGAGGAAUACCAGUGGCGAAGGCGGCCUUCUGGACUGACACUGACACUGAGGUGCGAAAGCGUGGAUAGCAAACAGGAUUAGAUACCCUAGUAGUC
rnacentral:rRNA from 1 species